rnacentral:rRNA from 1 species
CCUACGGGAGGCUGCAGUGAGGAAUAUUCCGCAAUGGACGAAAGUCUGACGGAGCGACGCCGCGUGGAUGACGAAGGCCGAAAGGUUGUAAAGUCCUUUUGCUGGGGAAGAAUAACCAUGGGAGGAAAUGCCCGUGGGAUGACAUGAACCGGCGAAUAAGCCCCGGCUAACUACGUGCCAGCAGCCGCGGUAACACGUAGGGGGCGAGCGUUGUUCGGAAUUACUGGGCGUAAAGGGCAUGUAGGCGGCUCUGUAAGCCUGGCGUGAAAGUCACCGGCUCAACCGGUGGAUUGCGUUGGGAACUGUGGGGCUUGAAUCAUGGAGAGGGAGCUAGAAUUCCUGGUGUAGGGGUGAAAUCUGUAGAGAUCAGGAAGAAUACCAGUGGCGAAGGCGAGCUCCUGGCCGAUGAUUGACGCUGAGGUGCGAAAGUGUGGGGAUCAAACAGGAUUAGAUACCCCGGUAGUC